GAUGAACGCUAGCUACAGGCUUAACACAUGCGAGUCGCGGGGCAGCAUGGGGGUUGCUUGCACUCCCCGAUGGCGACCGGCGCACGGGUGAGUAACGCGUAUCCAACCUGCCCUUCACCACGGGAUAACCCGGCGAAAGUCGGACUAAUACCGUAUGUUGUCCAUUGACGGCAUCCGAUUUGGACGAAAGGUUUGGCGGUGAAGGAUGGGGAUGCGUCCGAUUAGCUGGACGGCGGGGUGACGGCCCACCGUGGCGACGAUCGGUAGGGGUUCUGAGAGGAAGGUCCCCCACACUGGAACUGAGACACGGCCCAGACUCCUACGGGAGGCAGCAGUGAGGAAUAUUGGUCAAUGGGCGUAAGCCUGAACCAGCCAAGUAGCGUGCAGGAGGACGGCCCUAUGGGUUGUAAACUGCUUUUAUGCGGGGAUAAAGUGGCCCACGUGUGGGUUUUUGCAGGUACCGCAUGAAUAAGGACCGGCUAAUUCCGUG
rnacentral:rRNA from 1 species